UAGGUGGAUUAGUGGCGCACGGGUGAGUAAUAUAUAGAUAACGUGCCUCUUAGUCUGGGAUAGCCAUUGGAAACGAUGAUUAAUACUAGAUACUCCUUCUAACUCUAAUGUUAGUUGGGAAAGUUUUUCGCUAAGAGAUCGGUCUAUAUCCCAUCAGCUAGUUGGUAGUGUAAGAGACUACCAAGGCAAUGACGGGUAGCGGGUUUGAGAGGAUGAUCCGCCACACUGGUACUGAGACACGGACCAGACUCCUACGGGAGGCAGCAGUGAGGAAUAUUGCACAAUGGAGGAAACUCUGAUGCAGCAACGCCGCGUGGAGGAUGACGCAUUUCGGUGUGUAAACUCCUUUUAUAUGUCAAGAAAAUGACGGUAGCAUAUGAAUAAGCACCGGCUAACUCCGUGCCAGCAGCCGCGGUAAUACGGAGGGUGCAAGCGUUAUUCGGAAUCACUGGGCGUAAAGGACGCGU
rnacentral:rRNA from 1 species